rnacentral:rRNA from 1 species
AUUAAACGCUGGCGGCAUGCCUUACACAUGCAAGUCGAACGGCAGCACGGGGGCAACCCUGGUGGCGAGUGGCGGACGGGUGAGUAAAGCAUCGGAACGUAUCCUGGAGUGGGGGAUAACGUAGCGAAAGUUACGCUAAUACCGCAUAUUCUGUGAGCAGGAAAGCAGGGGAUCGCAAGACCUUGCGCUCUGGGAGCGGCCGAUGUCGGAUUAGCUAGUUGGUGGGGUAAAGGCCUACCAAGGCGACGAUCCGUAGCGGGUCUGAGAGGAUGAUCCGCCACACUGGGACUGAGACACGGCCCAGACUCCUACGGGAGGCAGCAGUGGGGAAUUUUGGACAAUGGGCGCAAGCCUGAUCCAGCCAUGCCGCGUGAGUGAGGAAGGCCUUCGGGUUGUAAAGCGUCUUUCAGGUGGAAGAAAUUAGCACGGGUUAAUACCCUGUGUAGAUGACGGUA